rnacentral:rRNA from 1 species
GUAGGUGGCAAGCGUUGUCCGGAAUUAUUGGGCGUAAAGCGCGCGCAGGUGGGUUCCUUAAGUCUGAUGUGAAAGCCCCCGGGCUCAACCGGGGAGGGUCAUUGGAAACUGGGGAACUUGAGUGCAGGAGAGGAAAGUGGAAUUCCACGUGUAGCGGUGAAAUGCGUAGAUAUGUGGAGGAACACCAGUGGCGAAGGCGGCUUUCUGGCCUGUAACUGACACUGAGGCGCGAAAGCGUGGGGAGCAAACAGGAUUAGAUACCCUGGUAGUCCACGCCGUAAACGAUGAGUGCUAAGUGUUGGGGGGUUUCCGCCCCUCAGUGCUGCAGCUAACGCAUUAAGCACUCCGCCUGGGGAGUACGGUCGCAAGACUG